rnacentral:rRNA from 1 species
GGAGGUAGUGACAAUAAAUCACAAUGCGGGACUCAUAGUCUUGCAAUUGGAUUGAGAACAACGUACAACUCUUAUCGAUAAGCCAUUGGAGGGCAAGUCUGGUGCCAGCAGCCGCGGUAAUUCCAGCUCCAAUAGCGUAUAUUAACGUUGUUGCAGUUAAAAAGCUCGUAGUUGAAGUGAGGGAGUGUGUAGUAGGACCGACUUGAUCGGAACUGCUGCAACCUCCCCCCUCCAAUCGGUGUAGUGGGGUAUUCAGUUAUUUCACUACUCCUUUGGUCGUUUACUGUGAGAAAAUUAGAGUGUUCAAAGCGGGCGUUUGUUUGAAUAGAUUAGCAUGGAAUAAUGAUUGAAGGCUUUCGUGUUCGAUUUGAUUGGUUUGUUCAUGGAAGCAAGGUUAAAAGGAACAGUUGGGGGUAUUCAUAUUCACUAGUUAGAGGUGAAAUUCUCGGAUUUAUGGAAGAUGAACAAGUGCGAAAGCA